rnacentral:sRNA from 1 species
GCCAGGUGUGAUGGCUCACACCUGUAGUCCCAGCUACUUGGGAGGCUGAGGCAGAAGAAUUGCUUGAACCCGGGAGGCAGAGGUUGCAGUGAGCCGAGAUGGUGCCACUGCACUCCAGCCUGGGUGACAGAGCGAGACUCCGUCUCAA